GUUCUCCCCGAAAUAGCUUUAGGGCUAGCCUCGGUAUAAAAGUAGUGGAGGUAGAGCACUGAUUGGGUGCGGGGCCCGCAAGGGUUACCAAGCUCAGUCAAACUCCGAAUGCCAUAUACUUAUUGCCGGGAGUCAGACAGUGAGUGCUAAGAUCCAUUGUCAAAAGGGAAACAGCCCAGACCAUCAGCUAAGGUCCCCAAGUGUGUGUUAAGUGGGAAAGGAUGUGGAGUUGCACAGACAACC
rnacentral:rRNA from 1 species